rnacentral:lncRNA from 1 species
AGUGCAGGAAUGAUGAACCUGAGGGUGGUAGAGAAGGGUGUCCCAGAAAUUCCCACCCAUAAGAAGAGAGGACCCGGACACUCAUCACAACUUGAAGAGCCAGAAUUAAGCAGAAUGAAAAAGCCAGUCCCGAAAGGUCACAUGCCACGGUCAAGAUAUCCGAAAGGGAUCUUCAGGAACGUGGGAUGUCUGUAAAUACUGACUGCACGACGUGUCCAUUCAAGGUCCUCACAACACCUGUCUCAGCGGACUCUGAGGCUGGCCCAGCUGUGUGAAGUUAGGCCAGAUACUUCAUCUGAUAUGAGACCUGCGACAGUCUACAGAUGGAGAGACGGAUCUGAAAUGGCCUGCCUAAGGCCACACAAAAUUGGCAGCAGGGCCUGAAUGGGAACUGAAGGUGCAGAGCUUCAAGCCCAACAGCAGGGUAAAAAGCCUCAGCCCCAUGUGUCCCUGUCCCCUCUCCAAUCCUAGCAUUCCUAGCCCCUCCUGCCCAGAUCUUCUUCUUGAUGACUGUCUGGCUAAAGGGUCUCUGCUCCCUUCUUACUUGGGCCUGGGCCAGUCCUUCCAGCUCCUGCGCCAGCUGCCACAUGUCAGUGUUCACCACAGGCUUCUGGAUCUGAGGAAAGACAGGAGACACCAAGAAGACUGAACCCAGAUGUCCCCAGUUACCCUCAGCCUCUGAGUUUCUAGACUCAUUUCCACCACCCCCAUCACUCUCUCUGUUAUCUCAGGGAAGGUCUCGUACAGCCUAGGCUGAACUCAAAUUGCACAUUCCCCUCUUUCUGUAUCUCAAUCACUGGGAUUCAGCCAUGUGUUACCACAUCAGGCUUCAUGCAUUACUGGGGAUGGAACCCAGGGCUCUACACGACAGACAAGAACUUUACAAACUGAGCCAUAUCCCCAGCCCCAGGAAGUCCAUUGUGAGGAGUCAUCUUCAGUUUGAACUGAAGCUGUGAGGUAUUUCAGAGUUUCCAGUGGAAUAAAAAAAAAUAAAAAGCAAGGUGCCCUCUGGAACGACUGGAAGAAAGUCAUUGUCUGACUGUAGAGUUGAUUGGCUGCUCUUCCAGAAGUCCCCUGUUGGAUUUCCAGCACCCACACAAUGGCUCACAAUUAUCUGAAAUUCUAGUUUCAUGGAAUCAGCUUCCCUCUUCUUGUUUCCACAGACACUGCAUAUAUGUGGUGCACAGACACAUGCAGGCAAAACACCCAUUUGUGUGGGGAAAAGAAAACAACAACAAAAUCAGUGUCACCCUGACUUUUCUUAGUGGCAGUGCGUUCUUAGCAGCGGUGCAUUCAGGACCAUGAACAGCGACACGUGCCCUUGCUUGAGGGACAGGGAAAGUGUGUGUAGGUCCUUAACAGGAAAAAGCCCCAGGAGUGGAGAGAGCUGGAGAGAUGCAGAACACACCCAGGAUGGCCCUUUCACGGGGUGUCACGUGCCGCUGGGGCACCAGAUGUCCCCCCUCGCUGACCUGCACAAGGAAGCCUCUGUAGUGGAUUUUCUCCAGCCCGCUCCUCUGCAAAGCCUCCAGGUCCUGGCGGGCAGUGGGGCUCAACAGGUCUAGCUCCUUCAAAUCUACUUGGAAGCUCUGAAGCUCCUGCUGAAUCUUGUGGGUAUACUGGGGGAGGGAACAGGAUGAGGUACAUUGUUGAGCUUGGUUGCUUGGCUUAAGGGCCAUUACCUGCAUCUGCAGGGCUCCAACUCUAGAUACAAUAUCACAGGCUCCCAAGAGACCUCUACUCAGUCCCAGCCUACUUCCAUGGACCAUGUGGUAACUGGGCUGUGGCACAGACUUUCUCUGGACAGCUGAUACAAAAUAGCUUUCUGGAACUUCUUCAUCACAGCCUCUGUAGUAAGGUCUUCACAGCAUCUAAUAUACUCUAAAAUCAUUUAUUCCUGGACUUGUUAAUCCAAGCUCAUCAGCUCAGUAAUAUCUGAGGACUUUGAUUAUUCGACUCUGAGACACUCUCAUCUGCAGCAGAGUCUGUCAAGUGGUAGGUGAGAUACAAGUUUGUAGACUUAUAAGUGAGUGAAGGAAGGAAAGAAGGAAGGAAGGAAGGAAGGAAGGAAGGAAGGAAGGGAUGAACGAACAAACAAACAAACAAACAAACAUACCUACAUUUCCAGAAAAGACAUCUGGCAUGCCUAUCCUGUGGUCGUGACACCCAGCUUCAAUAUCAGACAAGGCAACCCAUCUCUGGUCACUUCUCCCCAUCUUCCUAGGUAACCUUCCUCCAGGGAGAGGGCUCCCCAACUGUCUUUGACAGGGAGGGGGCAUGAAGCCGCAGAUAUUCUGGUACUCUGGAUGGCACAAUUUAUUUUCUGUUUUAUGCAUAAUUGGCCUUUUGGUGUCUUUUCCGAGAAGUUUUUCAAGGUCACAUUUAAUAAAGUACCAUGAAACC